rnacentral:rRNA from 1 species
UUUUAUUUGAGAGUUUGAUCCUGGCUCAGGAUGAACGCUGGCGGCGUGCCUAACACAUGCAAGUUGAGCGAUUUACUUCGGUAAAGAGCGGCGGACGGGUGAGUAACGCGUGGGUAACCUACCCUGUACACACGGAUAACAUACCGAAAGGUAUGCUAAUACGGGAUAAUAUAUUUGAGAGGCAUCUCUUGAAUAUCAAAGGUGAGCCAGUACAGGAUGGACCCGCGUCUGAUUAGCUAGUUGGUAAGGUAACGGCUUACCAAGGCGACGAGCAGUAGCCGACCUGAGAGGGUGAUCGGCCACAUUGGAACUGAGACACGGUCCAAACUCCUACGGGAGGCAGCAGUGGGGAAUAUUGCCCAAUGGGCGAAAGCCUGAUGCAGCAACGCCGCGUGAGUGAUGAAGGCCUUCGGGUCGUAAAACUCUGUCCUCAAGGAAGAUAAUGACGGUACUUGAGGAGGAAGCCCCGGCUAACUACGUGCCAGCAGCCGCGGUAAUACGUAGGGGGCUAGCGUUAUCCGGAUUUACUGGGCGUAAAGGGUGCGUAGGCGGUCUUUCAAGUCAGGAGUGAAAGGCUACGGCUCAACCGUAGUAAGCUCUUGAAACUGGGAGACUUGAGUGCAGGAGAGGAGAGUGGAAUUCCUAGUGUAGCGGUGAAAUGCGUAGAUAUUAGGAGGAACACCAGUUGCGAAGGCGGCUCUCUGGACUGUAACUGACGCUGAGGCACGAAAGCGUGGGGAGCAAACAGGAUUAGAUACCCUGGUAGUCCACGCUGUAAACGAUGAGUACUAGGUGUCGGGGGUUACCCCC